rnacentral:lncRNA from 1 species
CAGGUUUUCCUUUUUUCUUCCCAAUUUUAUUCUCUUCUUUGCUCUGCUAAACAGGUUUGCUUUCAAUGGCUAAUUUUAAUUCCUCUUCUUUACCUUCUGUUGUUGUCGUUGCUGCUUGUUCUUUGCUCGAGAAGCCGGUUGCGUUAACGGCAGCUUCAUGUUCAUCGCUGACGUCUUCUAUCGAAGGAGUGCUUGACGACAGUGUCGAAGACGACUGCUAUAUCUGUCUCGAGCCUUUCACUAUACAAGACCCUAUCACUGUAUGAUUCAUUACUCUUUGCUCCUCUUUUGAUUCAACUGUUCUUAUAAUGUCUACUUCACUAAACUUAGCAUUUAUUUCCUUCUCCUCAUACAAUUAAACAAAGCAUAAAAUAAAAUAAAAAUCCCCUUUAUCGUUAAAUUAAGCUCAAAUUAACGUUGCCCACACUAAAUCCAUUUCAAAAUCAGCUAAAAUUAAAAUCUCAAGAACGAAAAAAAAAUUAAAAAACAAAGCAAGGAGCAAAGAAUUGGUGAAAAAGUGGAUGGGUUGAUGAGAAAUAGACCUUUGGGAAAAGGAACGAUGUGGUUUUAUUCGAAAUAAAUGCAACCUUGGCAGUUACAGAAACACUUGCAGACGAUGUUAUCGGCAGCGUCUUUGUGCCAUCGCUCGGGAUGACGACCGGGAACAGUUUCAGCACUGGCCCAGCACUUGCUCUUUGCCUUUGAAUAGAAGAAUCUUGGCCUCUCUUCCUCACUAGGGUGUGCAUAAUUUGGGUAAAACUGAAAAAAUUUGGUUAACCGACCGAAUUCGGUUAAUCGGUCGGGGUCGGUUAAUUUUUUAUGAUUUUUCGGUUAACGGUUAAUUUGGUUCGAAACUGUUCAGUUAACCGAAAAAAUUAAUAAAUAAAAUUAUCCAACCCAACUCAAUUACCAACCUAACCCAAUUACCCAAUCCAGUAAAACUAAAACUAAAGUCUACCUAAUUACCCAACCCAAUAAAACUAAAACUAAAGUCUACCCAAUUACCAACCCAAUUAAUUUCAAGAAUUAUGUAAUGUUUUUAAUUAUGUAGUGAUUCAAAGACUUAUGUAAUAUUUUUAAUUAUGUAGUUAUUCAAUUCGGGUAAUUCGGUUAAUUUUUAAUCAAAAAUAAAAACCAUACAAUUUUCGGUUAAUUCGGUUAACCGACCUAAUUAAUCGAAAAAAUUUCGGUUCGGUUAAUUUUUUUUAAAAAAAAUCAGUUCGAUUAACGAUUAAAAAUUUUGAAAGGUUGGUUAAUUAGGUUAUAGCUAUUUCGGGUUGGUUAACCGAAUGCACACCCCUAUUCCUCACCAUUGCUACUGCAAGAACAAGGCGAAGGCAAAGAGCUCAUCCUUCCACUGGAGAACGAUUAACGCUGGGGUCGAUGGUGCACAAAUAAACGACGAUUUGAAGAGAGGUGGUGGAGAGAAGUGUUCUGGUGGUGCCCAAUCGAAGCUUCGUCAGCUGUACACAAGGCGGUUAGGGUUCAUUCGGGGGAAGAAAAAAAAGGGAAAUUGGGAAGAAGAAAGGAAAAUCGGGAAAAAUAAGAAGAAAAAUGGAUAAAAAUGGAAAUAGAUUUUAAAAACAAUUUUAUUGAUUUUUAAUAUAUUUUUUUAGAUUAUAACAUUAUCAUAAUGUCAUGAACGUCACGUGUUACAAUUUUAUCCUACCACUUAUCCUAAACUUGACGGUGUUACAAAAAGAUACCAAUUUAGUUAACAAAAAAAAUUCAAGUAUCAACUUGAGAUAAAAAAAAACAUAAAGUAUCAAUUUGAAAGUGUUUGACAAGUUUAGAUACUAAUUUUAUAUUUAAACUUUUUUUAUUAUAAUUUUUCAGUAAGGAUAGUAUGGAUGGGAGACAUGAUCGAUAUAUAAAAUCCACUGGCACAUACAAAAGAAGAAAGAAAAUGGGUUGGUGCAUAGUUAUGGUUUGAUUAUAUAUAUACAUAUAAAAGUAUGAGUUUGGAGAAAUCUUUAAAUUGACGAGAUCAAUAUUUUAUUUUUUAUCAUAUCACUAAAUUUACAUUUAAAAAUAAAAAAAAUUGAAAUAAAAUAAAAGUUGUGAUGAUUAUACAUUUUAAAUUAUAAUUCAAUAGAAGUUGUGAUAAUUACACAUUUAAAAAUAAUUAUAAUUUAAUUUACAAUUAUUAGUUUAAAAAGUUGUGCUAAUUUUGAAAUAGAGAUAUUAUUUAAAUAGAAUUUUAAGCAUAAAAUAUAGGGAAAUUUCAUGAUAAUUAUAAUUAUUAAUUAAAAUUUUUGAUAUAAGAAAAGAAGUGCUAAAUCAUAAAACAUUGAAAAAAAUUUGUGAUAAUUAUAAUUAUUAAUUAAAAACAUUAAUAUAAAAAAGAAGUUGUGCUAAUUUUAUUGAAGUAAAAUGGAAGUAUUAGUUAAAUAGAAUUUUAAGCAUCUUAAUUAUGAGAAAUUAUUUUGUACACUGCCACUGUAGUUUUUAUACUCCAUAUAUAGGGUCAGUUGAUUAACAAAUAUCCUGUAGGGGCAUGGUAAAUUAUUUUAAAAAAUAAAUAUUUUUAAAAAAUGAGCCACAUGCCAAUUUUUUAAGGUUACUUAUAGAAUAAAAAAGUAUACUGUAAGUGUACCAAAUAAAAUUAUAACUUUAUUAUUAUUAGAGUUAAUUAGUUAUUGUUUUGAAUAAUAUUACUUGUAUUAAUUAUAUAAAGUAAAACUAUAUUGUAUGUUGAUUAUGUUAAAAAUGCUUUAAUUAUGAUCCGAAAAUUUUCUAUUAUAAUAUUUGGAUUGAUAGGUUAAUUAUUUUAAUUAUAUUCAAUAAUUUAAAUAAGAAAUAUUAAUCUACGUUAAAUACUUCAACUAAGAUUACAAUAUUUAAAAAAUAAUAAUUAAUUAUUAAACGCAUAAAAUCUCAUGCAACGUAUGUAACAUUAAAAACUGAUAUAUAUAUAUAUAUAUAUAUAUAUACAUAUAUAGGCACAAGUUUAAAAAACAACUUUUGAAUCAAAGAGAAUACCCUUUAUUUUCUAUCAUAUUAUGAAAUUGACAUUUAAAAAUAUUUAUAAUUUAUAAUUAUUUAUUUAAAAAAGUUGGUGUAUAAAUAAAAUUUGUGAUAUUUAUACAUUUAACAACGAUUAUAAUUUUAUAUAAGUUGUUAUAGUUACACAAUUAAAAAUAAUUAUAUUUUAAUUUACAUUCAUUAUUUAAAAAAUUAGUUAAAAUAAUUCUAAUUGAAGUAGAAGUUACUUAAAAAAAGUUUUUACAAUUACAAUGAUUUAAAAAAGUUUUUUUUUGUAAUUUUUUAUUUUUUACUUGAUAUUUUUUGCUACAUAUUAAUUAUAUUAUUUACAAAUUAAUAUAGUCAAUUUAUUAACUAUAAAGGAAAUAAAAAUAAAAAUUGAAUAGUGAAGAGUUUAUAUUAUAAUAUAUAUUUUUUAUUGUUUUUAAAAAUGCUUUAAUGAUAAUAAUUUUAUAUUACUACUAUAUUAGAAUUAUCAAAAUACUUAAUAUAUUUAAAAUAAUUUAUUAGUUAUUAUUUUAAAUAAUGAUUAUAUAAAGUAAAAUUUUGUCCUAUGAUUGAAAUAGUGCAAAUGUUUUAAUUAUGAUUUGAUUUUUUUAAUAUUAUUAAAAAGUUUAUAUAUCUACAAAAUAUCAAUCUUUUAAUAUAGUAUAUGAAUUUUUUUUAUUAUAUUUGAAUUUUUAUAUAAAUUAAUAUAUUUUAAUUAUAUUUAACAAUUCGAGUAAUGAAUUAAAAAAUUAAUUAUAAUAAUUAAAAUUAAACACUUAAAAUCACAUGCAAUAGAUGUGCCAUUAGAAACUAAUUUUUUUAAAAGAAAUCAAGUUAAAGCUCGGUUUGAUUCGAUUUAUACAAAUGGUCCAUUUUAUUGUUUACAAAUAAUAAUAAUAAUUAAAAAUUAAAUUUAUAUGAAUAAUUAGAUAUUUUAUAAUUAAACAUAUAAAUAAUAAAUAAAUUUUAAAUUAUUUAAUUUGAAUUCGGGACGAGAUGAGCUAAUUUGAGAUGAAAAAUAUUUUCCAAAAUCGUUUUAAAAUGAGUCGAGCCAACCUAGCCACACGAGCCACUUGGCUGUUGAAGAGGUUUAUGUUUGAUGAUAUGUAAAGAGAAAUUUACUUUCAAGGCAAUAAAAUGCUUUUUUUAUUAACUGAACAGUGAAGGGGUUAGUACACGCAUGGGCAAGCCUAUUUAUAAUAUGAGCCUAAAAUUUUGGCCAAAACUGUCCAUAUUUAUAAAUGGUUAACCCAAACCCAUUUUAGGCUUGGCUGUAUUAUUUUUUUAAAAUACUUAUAUUAUUUUUAUUUAUUAUUAUUUUUAUAAUCAUAACAUUUUUUAAUAUUUAUAUUAUAGUAUUAUUAUAUAUUACUAUCGAUUUAAUUUUUAUGUGUUAUAAAUUACAUAAUAUAUAAAAAUAACAUAAUAUAAAACAUUAUAAACUUUAAAAAAUGGUUAGGCUGGGCUUGAGCCUUGAAUGUUCAAGCUCAAGCCCAAACUAUAUUUUAAAUGGGCCUAAUUUUUUUUUGUCAAAUCCUAUUUUUCGAGCUUAAUCUUUUAAUUCAAACCCUUCUAAAUUUUAGAUGAGUUUUCAGGCUUGGGCUAGUAGCUCGACCCAUUAACAUGUUUAGGUAAGGACAUACUCACACCAUGCACGCACACACUACAUCCAAAGGGAUCUACUCAAAUAAAAGCCUACUACUUGCUCCCCGGAGACUCAAACUCAAGUGAAUUCUAUGCGUGAACAUAUAAUGAUCCGAAAGUUAGUGGUGUCGGAAAAUAUGGUUUCAGAAUAGUAUAAGAAAAUUAAAUUUUGGAUAGCUAAUUUAGUUGAACUAGUGUUUAAUUAAGAUACAAGAACAAAAUUGUAAAAGUAGUAAAAGUCCAAUUAUUAUAGGUUUUUAAUUAGAAACAAGGACUAAAGAUUAAAAUGGCAAUUAGACCAGCCUAAUAUUAAUAGUUGACGGUGAGAGGAAGCAUUAUAAAUUAUAUUAUAAAGUUUUUAUUUAAAUAGUUAAAAUUGUAAUAAAAUAUGAUAAAAAAUAUAGAUGUUGGAAAGAAAGAGAAAACAUUUCUCUCUUUUCUUCCUCAAUAGUCAAAACUUAUAAGGAGAAGGAGGAAGUACGUACGACCUAGGGUAGUAAAAUUUUAAAGCUUCAAAUGGUUAGUUCAAUUUAGUCUCUUUUUUUUGUAAUUUUUAUGUUUUUUAGAUCAUGAGAGCUUAAUCUAACUAGUCCAUGUAUCAAUUUGUAAAAUUAUUAAAGUUUUAGAAAGAUGUCAUUGAUGAUUUUUUGAAGUUUUAGGUAUUAGAAUGAUAGAUUUUAAGCUUAGAGGUGAAAAAGGACUAAAUUGUAAAGUUAAUUGAUAGUUUUGCUUAAUAGGAACUAAAAUGAAUAAAUUGUGAAAUUUCUUGUAGAAAUGAGAAAUAGGAGGUCCUAAGUGGACUAUAGUGAAAUCAGAUUAAAAUUUGGAGUUUUAAAUUGAAAGUUAUGUUAGUCCCGAUUUUAAGGACUAAAUUGAACAAAAUGCAAUUUUUUUUUGUAAACUGACAAUUGAAUCUGAUCUUGAUUAAUUCUUGAUUGUAUUGUAUGUUUAUUUUAAUUUGUAGCUAACGUCGACUUGAAAUCCUCGAAAGAAAAAGAAAAGCUAAAGUUGUCAACGAAUAGCUCGAAGUUCUCGGUUUGUGUUUCUAUAAUUUGAACUAUUUUGAUUGUUGCAUUUUUAUAUUGCUUUGCAUGAUAAGAUUAUGAGGUGAGCUAAAUUUGAUAAAUCGAGUUGAAUUGAUACAAUUUUGAUUUGGUUAAAGAUAUAGAGAGCUAAAUUGAAAAGAAUUGAAAAUAUUGAAUCUUGAUGAAAAUGUGAGAUUGUUCUUGAAUUGAGCUAAUUCGUGAUAUCAUAUAUACGAAAUGAUGAUUGGUUGAUGAAUAAAAAGUGAUGAUGUAUAAAUUGAACUAUAUUCGGAAUUGAAUAAAUUGUUACCCUAUUAACUUUUCGGGUAGAGUUGGAUAUAGUUGGCAUGUCAUAGGAUAGGUAGAGUACGGGUUACUUUGACUACGUGUCGAUGAGGCACUGGGUGUCAAAUCACUUCGGUUAUAUCGAUAAGCAUAGGGCGCAAUUUAUAUACUUCAAAUUUAUCCGAUAAGGCAUUGGGUGCUAAUUUGGUGUGAUUGGUAGGAUCCGUGUAUCCGUUCGAGUUUGAGUCAAGUUAAUAGGGAAUUAAAAUGUAAAAUGCGUAAAAGUAUAUGUAUGAACUGAGAUAAUGGAUGAUUGUGAAAAUUGAAUUUAAGUUUGGAAGAACUAAUGCUAUAGUAAACAAGUGGAUCAAUUCGAUUGAGAUAUGGAAGAUAAAUAUAUAUGAUACACUUAUAUUAGCUUGAUUUAACAUAAGUGAAAUGAAUUGUAAAACAAAAUGAUGCUUUAUGUCAUAUUUAUUGACAUUGAAUUGAAUUGUAUGGCAUUUGGUUAUGUAAACUUAUUUUAUUUAUGUUGUUUAUAAUGUUCAAAUUACAAAAAUAUCAUUGAGUUUAUACUCAGCGUAUAUUUUAUUUUUUGUGCGCAAAUUAGGUUUUGAUCAUAUUCAUUUUA